UACGUAGGUGGCAAGCGUUGUCCGGAAUUAUUGGGCGUAAAGCGCGCGCAGGCGGUUUCUUAAGUCUGAUGUGAAAGCCCCCGGCUCAACCGGGGAGGGUCAUUGGAAACUGGGAAACUUGAGUGCAGAAGAGGAAAGUGGAAUUCCAAGUGUAGCGGUGAAAUGCGUAGAGAUUUGGAGGAACACCAGUGGCGAAGGCGGCAUCCUGGCCCUGUACUGACGCUGAGGCGCGAUAGCGUGGGGAGCAAACGGG
rnacentral:rRNA from 1 species